AGUGGGUUUUGUAGUCGAUUUCUUUAGAGUCCACCACUAGUUUUGCUCUGUCAGCUAUUAGUGAUCUGGCCUACUGCCUAUUGGCAUAUUCUCUGUUUUUAUCUUUCUGUUAUUUUCUCUCAUUUUGAGUUGGCAAUUUCACGUUGAAAACAUUUCACUUUCUUAUUUUUAAUCCCAAAUUGUUUUACAGAGGUGAAAUUGGCAAUUAAUUCCCCACUAUUUUAAAGUUGUUUAUUGGUUACAAGAUGUCUUUGUACAUGCCUUAAAGGAAACAAAAUGAAGAUCAACUGUUAAUAAAAUUUGUGAAACACCUCAUGUCUACCUUCAAGUACCCUCUGAUAGCAGAGGCAUCUGAUCCCUAGCUUUCUGGCUUGGAAUUGCAGAAAAGCAUACAAAAUCUACUCAGCAAAGGCUAAGGCCUUAUCCACUUCCCAUUUUUCUUUAGCAUUGUAGGCCCACUAGACAGCGGAUGACUAUUGACCAACUCAGUCAGUCGCGGCGCCCCUACGCAGCACGUUAGAAUUUAGAAAUAGCGACGCCAAUACGAAUGAAGGCCCCUCUUUCUGUCUCCCUCCUCCUCAGUAUUCGACUAUUUUCUUCAAUGGCUUCCAAUGCCCGAUUGCUCUUUCCCCUUGUUCUGAUUUGCUUCUGCACUGUUACCAUAGCCAAAGAAGGACCCUUUUUGCCAAAUUCUGUAAUUCUUCCGGUGACAAAAGAUAUUGCAACACAUCAGUACGUGACACAAAUAUACAUUGGUGAUCAACCCCUCGCUCCAACCAAACUUGUGAUAGAUAUUACUGGUUCAUCUUCUUGGAUUGAUUCUGCCCAUCUGCUAUCUUCAUCUGGGCAUCCCAGGCCCUUUGGUUGUUUUUCAUUGCAGUGCUCAUUGGCAGAGGCUAAUAGCUGCACCAGGCCCAGCAGGACUAGUCGCAAUACUUGUACUCUUGAAGCAGAAAAUCCCAUCACAAAUAUGGUCACCAGAGGAGAGUUAACAGAAGAUAUCAUAGCUGUGCAAGUCACUGAUGGGAUAAAGACAGGAUUAGCUUCUGUUCCUCAUUUUCUGUUUUCAUAUGUGCCUGCAUUAUUACUGCGGGGAUUGGGUGAUGGUGUCAAAGGUGUGUUAGGCCUCGGAAACACUAGAAUUUCACUACCAUCACAAGUUGCUGAUGCAUUUAGCUUCCAGAGGACAUUUUCUUUGUGUCUGUCAUCAUCAAAUGGGGCUCUGAUCGCCGGCGAAAUUCCUUAUGUUUUACCUCAUAAUAAUGACGUUGCAAAGUCAUUAAUGUACACACCCCUUGUCUUUAGAGAAGGUAGCAAGGUGCAAGGUUACUACAUUAAUGUGAAAUCCAUCAAAAUCAACGGCAAGAAGUUGUCGAUUAAUGAAUCGCUGUUAUCGGUAAAUCAAGAAGGUGUUGGAGGGACCAAAAUCAGCACAACAGUUCCCUCUACCACCAUGGUCAGCACAUUGUAUAAUACAUUUAUUAAGGCCUAUAUCAAGGCAGCAAUUGGUAUGAACAUGACCAUGGCGCCUCCUGUGGCACCAUUUGGGAUCUGCUUCAGAUCAGAAGGGUUGGAGGCCAAUAGGGAUGCAUCUAAUGUGCCAAUUAUUGAUCUUGUGCUGCAAAGUGAGAUGGUUAAGUGGAGAAUUGAGGGGAGGAAUUCGUUGGUGCAGGUUAAUGAUAAAGUUAUGUGCUUGGGGUUCUUGGAUGGAGGAUCGAGCUCAAAGGAUUCUGUCGUACUAGGAGGUUAUCAAUUGGAGGACAAUUUGCUGGAGUUCAAACUUGGAACUAAAAUGCUAGGAUUUUCUGCUUUGGCGAUGGGACAUACAACUUGCUCUAAUUUAAGGUCAAGUUAUAUCCCUAGGGAAGCAUUUUGAUUCUUGGUUUUGUUGAAAAGUUCUAGAUGUGACUUAGGAGACAGAUGACCCUUGUACAUGUUAGGGUCCAACUCAUUGGAAGUAGCUGUUUAGGAUUUUAGCUGAAUCAAAAUAUAACAUCCCUUACUGAGAGCUUGUAGAAUUACUUGUGAAACUUUCUGUGUAACUUAAAAAGUUUUCUUUGAUGCAUCGUGAUUAAUUCAUACUGAGCAUUAGUCUCUAAUAUCUCGGUCCUCCUGUGCUUACAUUUUGUGGUUUCUGACCAAUCGCGAUUAAUAUCAUCAUUGUUUUGCAAUGCGUUUAGUUCAGAAUAUCAAUUGAUCACUAUGCAAUCUGGACUAGCCAUUUGCUCAAACGUUGUAGUAGGCUCCAAAGAACCAGUCGGUGGCUGCAUACUCUAAUACGUCACCAGAAAAUCCUAUUCAGGAAUCCGAUAUUCCUGCAUGCAAAUAUUCACCUGUCAGUUUAACAUGAGCUGAUCAUAUGAUUCAAUGGAACUGACCUGCAACGGCAGCAUCUCUAAUACUGGAACGUCUGAAGACCCAUAGGAUCAGAAACCAUACUCCUUUUCAUAUUCUCUCAAAUCAGCCAAAGAACUCCACUGGUGCCAAUAAAACUCACACUAGAUCUUGGUGGCGAAUCCUUAAUGGGUCGGUUGCGAGAAAGGCUACACCAGCUCAACAUAUCAGCGUGUCCAUUGCCGUUCAUCUCUCUGUUCAUUUAUCAAUACCCCUUUUGGAUGCGGCACAUGCCAUGAUGGUCCAAAACCAGCCUGCAACAACCAUGCAUGUUAAGUCUCACAAGAAAACACCAUAGUUCAUAUUCAAACCAUUGGUGAGCUUGCCAAAGAUGUCAUCUCCCUUCGUUCUACUCAUGGAUCAAAUCCUGGCCCUGUUGUUUCAGUUCCAUACAGAGUCUUGGAAAGGUCAAUUUACGGUGCUGUUACUAAUGUUUUCAUUGAUUCAGUAGCAAAAGUCCCUAGAGUGAAAGCUGUGGCACCAUUUAAGGCACGUUAUAGUGCAAAAAGCCUUGGUUCUAUACGUGUUGGUCCUGGUGUUCCAUCAAUUGAAUUUGUUUUGCAAAGCAGGAGUGUUUUUUGGAACUUUUUUGGAGCAAAUUCAAUAGUGCCUGUUGGAAAUGAAGUUUGUGUUUCGGAUUUGUAAAUGGAGGCGUAAAUUCUCCUGCAGAAUCUAUUACAAUAGGAGGAUAUCAGCUUGAGAAUGCGCUUUUGCAAUUUGAUCUAGCAAGAUCAAGGUUGGGGUUCCUGUCUACAACCUUGGGCCGCCAAACUACUUGUCCCAACUUCUACUUUACUUCUAAAGGUUGAAAAAUUGGUAGUAGAGAUGAAAAGUCUUCCAACAAACAAGUUAGGGAGUGAUUUCUUAGCGAGUGAAUUCCUUCUAAUAUCUCAGUUGCUAAUAAAUUCCACUUGUAACUCCUGCUUUUGAAUAAAAGAUAUUUGUUGGAACUGGAAUUUGACUACAUUUUCUAACAAAGUUAAAAUCUUCGUUUAAACUUAAUCUAUUACAUGAGAAAUGUGAAACAGGAUACAACUCCUUCAGUUUCAGCUGCCAGAGCCAAAUAUUUAAGUAUAAAAGCAUGAUAACUACUUGGAACUUGGAGCUGAGUACUGUAUGUUGAAUGUUUCAACUUCUGAUCUGUCAUGUGCCCCAGUCUUUGCUCAAUAUGAAACCAGAUAUGCAGAUUUGGACCAACUAGCACCUUUCACUAUUCUUGCCAAUGUACAAUAUCUUCUAGUCUGUGCUGUAUUACACUACAUUCAUAUGCUUUUAAUAUGAAAUCCGAUAGCAGAUUUGGACCAACUAGAAUUUUUUGACUAAUUUUUUUUCCAAUGUACAACAUCCCUGUGGUCUGUAUUGUCUUACGCUACAUUCAUGUCCUUCUAUAAAGUUGACAAGCUGUAGUUUGAUCGUUGACUUACAUGAUAAGUCAACCAUCCAAUUUGAUAAGAAAGGGACUUACCAGAAUUAGCAAUGCCUAACAGUACCCUCCAGAGAAGAUUUAGAAGAAAUCAACUACACGUAUAACAAGUCUCCAGCUUAUGCAUCCAAACUGUUCAAGUCAUAAUUUCCAUGGCUUCCAAUCUUUGCAAUAUCUUUCAGUUUUUACUCUACUCUCUUUUCCUUUUCAUCUCUAUCUCCACAGCCCAAACUUCCUUUAGUCCCAAGGCACUUGUGCUCCCAGUAACAAAAGACUUGUCAUCCUCCCAAUACCUUACCCAAAUUAGCCAGCGAACUCCUUUUGUUCCUGUAAAACUAAGCAUUCAUCUUGGUGGCCAGACCUUAUGGGUAGACUGUGAACAAGGCUUCACGAGCUCAACUUAUCGGUCAGCAAUUUGCGGUUCACCUCAAUGCACAAUUGCCAAGCCUAAUACCUGUUAUAACUGCACCUCCUCCCCAACACCAAGGCCAGGGUGCAACAAGAAUGCAUGUUUGAAUACACCUGAAAAUCCUUUCAUUAACACUUUAUAUGAUGGUGGUGAAAUUGCUGAGGACGUGGUAUCAAUCCAAUCAACUGAUGGAUUCAAUCCAGGACAAUUUGUUAAGGUACCGCAGUUCAUUUUCACCUGUGUUCCAACUUUUCUCACUGAAGGUCUUGCUAGUGGAGUUAAAGGCACAGCAGGUUUGGGAAGAAAUGACAUAGCACUCCCUUCUCAGUUUGCUCGGGUUUUUGGCUUCGCAAGAAAAUUUGCAAUAUGUUUGAGUGCUUCCACGAGUUCUAAAGGUGCUGUAUUUUUUGGUGAUGGCCCUUAUAUCAUGCUUCCUAAUAUUGAUAUCUCCAAGUCUCUUACCUAUACUCCAUUGUUUAUUAAUCCAUUUGGAACUGGAUACGUCCCCUACUUAAAUGAGUCAUCCUCUGAGUACUUCAUUGGGGUGAAAGCUAUCAAUAUCAAUGGUAAAGCAGUGCCAGUCAAUAGAAAAUUGUUGGCCAUUGACAAGAGAGGCAAUGGUGGAACUAAAAUCAGCACUGGCAGAGCUUAUACAGUUAUGGAAACUUCAAUAUAUAAUGCAGUUUCCAAGGCUUUUGCUGAAGAGCUUUCUAAUGUCACUAGGGUGGCAUCAGUUGCUCCUUUUGGAACAUGUUUCAGCUCUAAUAGUAUUGGCAGCACACGCGCUGGACCAGCAGUUCCUCCCAUUGAUCUUGUCUUGCAAAGCAACAAUGUGUUUUGGAGAAUUUUUGGUGCAAAUUCAAUGGUGCAGGUGAACAAGGAUGUUAUUUGUCUGGCUUUUGUUGAUGGAGGUGUUAGACCUACCACCUCAAUUGUCAUUGGAGGAUAUCAGAUUGAGGAGAAUUUACUGCAAUUUGAUAUUGCCAAUUCAAGGCUGGGAUUCAGUUCUUCACUUCUGUUUCGCCAAACAACAUGUGCCAACUUCAACUUCACAUCUCGAGCUUAAAGAGCUUCGAUUCAUUUUCCAAUUUCCAAUCCAUAGGCAAUAGACAACUAUUUUCUGUAAUAGUUUCCUGGAAUGAAUAAGCAGACCAGCUGCUGCCGCGUGAAAAUUUGUGGUGUGGGGGUUUGUGUAAUAGUUUGCUGGAAUGAACAAGCAGCCCAACUGAUGCCGCGUGAAAAAUUGCAUUUAUGAUGAUUACUUGUCACAUCUACGGAUUCAAGAUAUUCUUCACUAUUUAGCAUUAAAGCAAACUGUUUUAGUACAUUUUAUGAAGACUAACGAAACUUGAGCCUGCGAUAUCGAGGCAGUAACUAAGGAUGGCCUUUGUGGAUAAUUUCAAAGUCAAAAUAUCUCUUAGUUGUCAAUCAACUGUUUUAAGUCAAUGGUAUUGCUUGUUAGCUUUGGUCAGACAAUUUGAAUCGACCAUAUCAUUUCUUUUCUUUUUUUUUUAUAGCAUUCCAGCUCAUUAUUCUCCAGCAAUCUCCAUAAUAAUCACCAAAGAUUGUAGAAAAGCACCUAGCUGAUAAUUAUGCAUCUUUCUAAGUUCUUCCUGCUUCUGCUGGCCUUCAUAGCAUAUGAAGUCUCUGCAGCUCGACCUCACAAAACGCUUGUUGCAUCCAUCGCUAAAGACACCAAAACUUCCCUUUACAGCAUUAGACUUAACAUCAAUGAGCACUACGUCAUUGACCUCAGUUCUCCUUUUCUGUGGUAUAACUGCCCACUGCAACACCCUCUUGUGAUCUGCAGAUCACCUCAGUGCUUGCAAGCCCAGUCUUACCCUCCACCCUCUUGUAUCCUAGAAUCUAAACAACAACUCCCGCAGGUACCAUGUACUUGUCUGGUCACACCUGUAAAUCCUGUCACCAAAUUGUGUGCCUCGGCCCAGUUGACAUACAAAAAUUUCGCUAUCUCCUCAAUAAACGGUAGUACUCCUACUGGUAGCAUAACAUUCAGUAAUACUUAUGUAUCUUGUGCACCUGACUCCCUCUUGAAGUCCCUGCCUAAAGGAGCUAUUGGCUUGGCUGGCAUUUCCACGGCACCUUUGGCUCUAGUGUCUCAAUUUACUCCUUCAUUUCUUGGACUAAGCAAGAAGUUCGCAAUCUGUUUGCCUGACACAGAUGCAGCCCCUGGCCUGGUCUUCUUUGGGGAUGGCCCGUAUAAUCUGCUGCCUCCAACAAAUUUUGAUGUAGCAAGCAUUCUCACUUACACUCCAUUGCAAAAGAUUCCAAAAUCACCAGAUUAUUACAUUGACAUUAAGGCUAUUUCAAUAGGUGGAAAGGCGAUUCCUGUUCCAAGAAAGUCGCUAGCAGCUGAUAAAUUAGGCCACAGCGGGGUGAAGCUCAGCACAGUUGUCCCUUACACCACACUGAGAGCUGAUGUUUACAAGGCAUUUGUCAACAGUUUUAUAGAGUCCACUCAGGGCCUUCCUCAGCUAAAUGCAGUGAAGCCAUUCAGAUUAUGUUUCAACUCUACUGCAAUUGGCUUUAGUCGGGUUGGUUUGCAUGUGCCUCCGAUUGACUUGGAGUUGGCAAAUGGCAAGAAUUGGACAAUAUUUGGCGCAAACUCUAUGAAGCAAGUCAGUGAAGAGAUAGCCUGUCUGGCAUUUGUCAAUGGUGGGAAGACAGCUGAACAGGCAGUUCUGAUUGGAUCAUUCCAGAUGGAGAAUAACUUUUUACUGUUUGAUCUAGCAAAGUCAACGCUGGGCUUCAGUUCUUCCCUGUUCUUUAUUAGGACCACAUGUGGUAACUUUAAUUUUACAAAUGUACCAUGAUCUCAAAAUAUCUUCUGAAGAUCAACCGAAAAAUAAAUCAAAUUGCCUCAGGUGUCAGGAUCCAACGAAAUAAGAUUGCUUUUAUUUAGGGAAACUAAGAUGAAGCAUUUAUUCCCAAUUGAAUUAUCAUUAAUUGCAUUACCAAUGCAUCAUUUGGCAAUCAGGAUUCAUCUGGUCAGGCAUCAUUGUUGGAAUCACUAACAAGUUAUUUUCAAGUGGAAGGUUGGAUUCUCAACAAUUCCUUGCCUCACUGUUGCCUUGCUGUUAUUUUCAUCUUAUCAUGGUUAGGCGUAAAAGACUACUAUUUUUCGAACUUGGACAUUAAAAGAUUUGGCGCCUGUUUAGCUUGACGAAUAGAUGAUAACUGUCAUCAAUGAAUCGCAUAUUUUUGAAAGAUUAACCAAAUUUAUGCAUGGGAAAUGAUGGUCAUCAGGCCCCUUGAUCAGGCUUUCUAUGGCCUGCAAGCAUGGUGGUUCUGUUUAUUGUACCUAGAAUGGUAAUCAAAGUUUAUAUUGCAUGAAGCUAGGCACACUCCAACGAGAAAAUGCUGUCUUAUAUAGCCUUUAUUACCUGUUCAUGAGCUAAUAUAUCUAUUGUUUGGACAAUUCUUAUUGCUGUUCCUGAAUCACAAUCUACGGCUAUCACAGAUGAGUUUCCGUUUACCAAGUGAUCUUACAGAAUUUGUUGACCAAAUAGGCUACCGUAUUAUACAACAAUAUUUGUAUGACAGCUGAAAACAUACACUAGUCCACAAUCUGCAUAGUUCCAACUUCCAAGUACAGGUUAAUGUAAACCAGAAGCGAAGAAAUGAUCACAUAUAUGAUUCAACCAAAAGUUGAAACAGUUAGGUAGAAAAUAGCUCAUAUCCCGUUUAUUUACAGGCCAUUUAAGAAGCAUGAAUUAUUUCUUUUCUCAAGCCAAAGGAACGCAAAGAUUGUGCUGAAGGAUAUACACUAGACCUCUCGAGUGUCUGUCCGCCAAUUAAGAUCUCAGACAAUGCGAAGACCAAAAAAAUCUCCAAUAUUACAUCGUCAGGCAGAAACUGCAUAUAUAUACCAGAGGAACAUAAUGAUUAAGGACAAAAAAAUAAAAUAAAAUAAAAUUCUUUGCCAUAAUCUUGUAUUCUGAGUUUCACCCCACUGAGAAUCUGCAUAAGGUUGAUCUGUCAUGAAAUCCUUGCCUGAGGAUCCACCGACUCUUGAUGUUUCAAUUGAUGCGCUGGUCAGCAACCAAUUAAAGAAUGAUCAAGAAAUGGGGACUGAUGCAAAACCAAUCAGUGGAGAACCUCUGCAAGAAAAUCAGUCUUUUCGUGGCUUCCCACGUGCAAUGUGCCCAGGUCUCCGGAAGGUAACAGAUCGCCUGAACUUACUUUCUUGUUUUAGUACCAGAGCAAUACUAAUGUUUUUGUUAGUGUAGCUGUCACUUAGUUUUACCUAAUCAGGUUGACAAGCCUUUCCAAAAUGCAGGUUUUGGCUGAAGCAGUAGGGACUUUCAUAUUGGUUUUCUGUAUAUGUGGAAUCAUUGCGAGCAUGGAGUUAAUGAAAGGUCAGAUAGGACUAAUGGAAUAUGCAACAACAGCAGCUUUAACGGUGGUGGUUUUAGUUUAUGCUAUUGGUACCAUCUCUGGAGCUCAUGUUAACCCUGCAAUCACAAUUGCUUUUGCAACUGUUGGUCCAUUUCCCUGGUCCACGGUACACACUCCAUUCCAACUACCAACAUCAAAAUGGUCUUUCCAUACAGUAAUUGAUGCAUUCUCCAAAUUGUUGUCAAGGUUCCACUUUAUUUAUCAGCACAGCUUGGAGGUGCUGUCCUGGCAACCUAUGCAGGAAAGUUUGUCUAUGGCUUACAAACAGAUUUGGUGUUGACAAAACCGUUCCAUGGACGCAGUGCUGCAGCCUUUUCUGUUGAGUUCAUUGCAACAUCAAUGGUUGUAUUCUUAGCUGCAGCUUUGGCAAAUGCACCAGAAUCUGUAAGAUAAUGAGCUGCUCUUUUUCAUCCCUUCAUUUUUAUUUGACUCCUUUUUGCCUUCUGGGAGGGGAAAGAGGCCAAGUACAGGUACCUAGCUGAACUCCAGAGAAAUUCACAACCUCCUAAAUUCCAACCACAAAACUACUAUUAUCACAUCUUUAGUUGCAACAUGCAAUCCAUAUGACAAUGUUUCUUGAAAAUGACCUAAAAAUUAAACAAAACCAAUAAGAUGAAUCUUACAAAUGCUUGUGAUAUGGGAAUUGUACAGGUACAGAACUUGUCUGGAUUUGUGGUUGGAGGAGCUAUUGGGCUUGGAGUGCUCAUCACAGGGUAAUACCAGUUUCAACUGCAUCUUGCAAACACUUUGUUCCAUAUAUUUAACACACAAUAAAAUCUAAUCACCAUUCAUUUUCUUCUUAAACAUUUUUUAUAUGCAUUUUGCAGGCCUAUCUCAGGAGCAUCAAUGAAUCCAGCAAGAUCACUGGGACCAGCAAUUGUUUCAGGGGACUUUACUUUCCUGUGGAUCUAUCUUGCUGCCCCAACUCUAGGAGCCAUUUUUGGUGCCAUCUUGUAUCGCCUCAUCCGUCUUCAAGGCUGGCCUUGCCAACCAAGUCCCUCAAAAAAUUGAAAUGCUCCUCUGCUUUAAAGUUGCAUCUAAUGCAUGAUUAUUAUACACUGAAACAAAAAAUGAUGACUAUAUACUGUUAGCCACAAAGCUUGAUGGUACCCAAAAUUGACUUUCUUGAAAACAUCUGGUUGCUGCAUUCUCCUAUAUUAUUUAUAAGUAACGAGGGAGAUUUCUGAAUCGAGAUGUAAGCAUGUAAUCCAGUGGGCCAAUGUACAAUACAUUAUUGUUCAAAUCCAGCAUCAUGGUUAAUUCUGAACUCUGAUUGGCUCAUUUUUCAUAUUUCUCAAUGCUUCAGACUCUCUCUCAUUUCCGAAAUCUAAUAGGUCACCAAAUUUAAUAUUGGAUUAUUAAGAUUACUAAGCAAACAAAAAAAAAAAAAGCCCAUUAAAUGGAUGCUUUUGAUGUGAAAAUUUAAGUAGCAUAAAUUCGGAUGUAGUGAGAUCUUACCUAUUUCUAAAUCAUUUGUCUGAUACAAUUUUUUUUUUUCUGACAUUUUCUUACGAAAGUAAGAAUUUUUGGCAAAUAAACCUAACUCCCCACAGUAACUCCAAAAGCCGGUAACUUGUGGAGUCCUGUGAGGGACUUAUAAACCUAAACCCCAACCCCCCCAUUCCCGAUGUGGGAUAGAAAACCCCACAGGGGUGCCCUGCUGCUAAGAGAUAAAGACCCCUCAAGCCCCCUGAGAAUGAGUUUUCUUUCUGACAUUUUCUUACGAAAGUAAGAAUUUUUGGCAAAUAAACCUAACUCCCCACAGUAACUCCAAAAGCCGGUAACUUGUGGAGUCCUGUGAGGGACUUAUAAACCUAAACCCCAACCCCCCAUUACCGAUGUGGGAUAGAAAACCCCACAGGGGUACCUGAUACAAUUACUCAAGGGUUUUUUGGGGAUAGGGGAUAAGGUCAGGGAAUUUGUCUAAAGAGGCCAUCCCAUCAGCAAAAAUAAGUAGGCCAAAAAAAAAAAAAGCAAAAAAACUAGUCUAUUUCAGGAUAACUUUCACUAAGAAAAUUAGCCCAUUUGAAAAUGACAACUGCUAUAUAUAUAUAUAAUAAGCCCAAAAUCGUUUGAAGAAAAACCUGUCACCAUCUUCCACACAUCCUGAGAGCUGAGAAGACAUUUUAAUUCAGCAGUAGGGUGUGGAAAAGAAAUUGGCACCUCAAGAUGAGUCAUCACUCAUGACUUAAUUCAUAUACAAGUACAUGCAUGUCCACAUCGGUAUGUAUUGGAUUUUUUUUAUCUGUGGCAAAUGGCGGAGAUGAUAACAGCGUGGUGAUCUGGAGAAAUACGUAGAUGAUGGAGAUGUCUGCCCACGGGACCACUUCGGAUAUAAUUGCUCCUUAAGAUUAAUUCUUUUCAGUUGGGAUCUUCUAUUGAUGAGUUUGUAGAAGGCGUGAUCAAUGGAAAUUCUUAUCCUUACGGAGUGAAUUUUCAAAGAAUGACACUUUUUAAAAAGAAUUCCUAAAUGUUGAUGUUUCUCAAACUUUUUUCCGUAAGGCAAACGUAUUCAGCAAAUGCAAUUGGUUUCUUUAAAAGUCUUGAAGAAAAGCACAUUCAUCGAUUUAUCAACACAAGUUAGCUCAAUUGUUGACAAGAGCAAGUCACUUUUUUGUUCGAAUUUCACUGUCAAUAUGAGAACAGUAUUGAUGAGCGAUUUAUAAAAGUCUCUAUAAGCGACUUAUGGUGCUGUAUUUGUGGGCGAUUUGUAAAAAAUUUUAUAAGCGACUUAUGAUUUUAGAGGUAUGUCCUGGACCAUGGCAGUGAUCAGAGUCAAACUGGCCAAAUUUUUUUCUACCAAAAGAAAAAAUCGAAUGAAUUUUUUGUUACUUGUAUAGGCACAAAUUUCUUAAACAACUCAUUCACCGGAUGCGUUGUUGAAAAAAAGUUGUUCAAUCCCUUAUGAGAUAAACCUUCACUGUUUGGGAACUAAUUUCAAAUAAGGACUUUUCUCCACCCUUAUGAGAUGGAUGUCCUGACUUGUGAGCAAAAGGAUAAAGAGGUGAAACAAGAUAUGUCCUCUUAUGACAAACUAAAAAGUUUAAGAUUAACAAAAAGCCUCGUGGGAAUUAACCCUUCUUUCUUUUUUUUUCAAAAGAUUUUAUUAACAGAAAUAUUGUGAGAUUUAAGAAGUGGAAAAAGUAUGAUUUAACCGGGCUCUGUCUAUAAAUGCACUAAGAAGAGAGGUUUGCACUUUAUAAAAUUCUAACAUUAUCACUGCCCCUCAUAAAUUAAUUAUAGUUCACAUAAAAAUUAUAAAUUUUAUGGACCAGAUAAUAGCGGACAGAUAUUUUAUCUAGUCUUAGGGCAAAAAUAUAGAAGAAUUCGAAAAUAUGGACCACUUUACAAUACUUAGAAAACCGAUUAAUGUUUUGUUUUACAGUCGAUGUCAAAGCAUCCCCUAUGGAUAAACAACAGGUGCCCAAAAGGGUCACCUCCCAACAGCAAAAAGCCAUUGGGAUUGAAGAAAAUCUAAUGACUUUAUCCCUGCAAUGGUCACUUUCAAUUUUUGAAUGCUCCCAGGGUCAAGGGAGAAAAAAGAAAAAAAAUAAGUGGUCAGUUUUAAUUAAAGCAAGAAAAAGAAAUUGAGAUAGGAUUUUGUCCAAUAGCAAUAACUACAAUAAUCUUGGUUGUGCUAAGCCAGAGCCCCACUUCCUUUUAUAUCUGUUGUUGGAUCAAUCAAUUUCACAAUCUUAAUAUAAAAUCCAGUGACAUUUCAUUUAUGAGUGGUUAAUUUUCAUCCGUUGAGAUUCUUUGCAUAUUUCACAAGCGUGACGGACCAUCAAGGCAACAAUCAGAUCCCUCAAAUAGCCCAUUCAGCUUUGGUCCACCGCAACAAUUAUUCAUCAUCUACGUGGCCAAGUCCUGCGGUUGGAAAAUCGAAAUCCCAUUAUGAUCACCUAUUGACAUCUUCUUCUCUUUCUCCUUUCAUCAGAUUGACUUAUGGCAUAUUUACGGUAUCUAGGGUUAAAACCAUCGAUUAAGAUUAUUUUGCAAAGUAUGUUAUUUCUUGAUGUUUAUUUCCAUAUUUCAUUCGGGAUAAUGGUUUGUUUUUUUUCUUUUCUUUUCGUUUUGUUUGCUUCUCCUUCUCAAGAAACGAGAGAAUGGUAAUUGAUGUUCACUGUUAGACAUGUCAAUGUAUAAGAUUUAUAUUAGAUCUCUUUUAUUCAAAUUUAAAUCUAUUAAAUUUAGUUAGAUUUAGACAUAGGUCUAGAUCUUUAUGGAUUUGAAAAGUAAAUUCAAAUUCAAACCCUCAUGGUUCGAAUAUCCAAUGAUAUUCGUUAGUUUUUUUCUGAUCAUAAAGUAAAAAACUAAAAUAAAAAUAUUUCCAAAAACAAAUUGAGAGAUGGUAGGGCAAAAGAAAGUAGAUUGUGAGAUUUCUAAUUAAACUAAUUAAAGAGGGAGAUGAAAACCAUAGUUGUUGAACCCAACGCAAUAAAGAAUCUGGCAAAGGGACUGGUCACUGGUUCAACAAGUAGGUCACUGGUUGAACCGACGAGUAUUAAUUUAAUAUUUAUAAAUAUAAAAUAGCAAUUUUAAUAUACAUAAAAUAUAUAAUAAAGUGCUUUUAGAUACUAAUUAUUAUACUUAGAAUGAUAUAUAAUAAAUAUAUAGAUAUUAAUAGAAGAUUUAAUUCCAUUUUAUCGCACUUUUAAAUAAAUAAAUAAUAUAGUCGAGUAUAAAACAAAAUUUAUAUCACUUGUUUUCAAAAAUAAAGUGUUAUUUUACAUUAUUUUAUUUUUAUUUAUAAAAUAAAAUAAUUUUCUAAUUAAUCAAAUAUUGUCAGUUUAAAAGUUAAAAAGAUUAAUUAUAUAAUAAAAAAAUAAACAAGUUUAUUACAAAAUGUUUAGUUAUAAAAUAAAAACUAAGUAAGUGCUAAAGUCUAUAUAUAUUUAAAUGAAGAUCCAAUGUACAAAUCUUAUCAAAAGCAUAUAUAUAUAUAUUUUUGUUUCAAAAAAAAAAGACCCACAAUUGAAAAAAAGGUAAAUCGGAUCAAUUGAAAAACCAGGUAGGUUCCCAAUUAAACCACCGGGUCAAUUGAAUUUGUCCGAGUUUGACCGGAUCAAUUGCUUGUCCGGUCAAAUUAGAGACCCGACUUAGUUUAAUGCCGGAGUUACCGGGUCGACCAGUUCAACCGUCAGACGGGGUCAGGUUUAAUAACUAUGACGAAAACAAUAGAAGCGCGUAAUAGAUAGGUAGAAUUAGAUGAUAUUUUCUUAGGUUAAGAGUGUAUUAUUUAAUCUAACAACCAUGAAAUCUUAUUGUAUUCGAUCCAUGGUCAUAAAUAUAUUAAAUUAUUUUAUAAAUUUAUUGAUAUAUAUAUAUGUGUAUAUAAAUGGAUUUGGAAAAGAUCUGAUUUGGAUUUGAAUUUGAAUAUGAAUUAUAAAAAAUCAAACCCUAUCCAAACUAUGACUCUUUUAUAGGGUCUGGGUUUGGAUUUCAAAAAUUAUAUCCAAACCCUAUCCAAAUACAUUGGAUCGGGGUUGAAUUUGAGUAAAACUCGACCCACUUUCACGGCUAUUCCCUAUGUUUUCAAAUAGCUUUAUGGGAUUUCAAUGAUGAAUGAAAAUUUUGUCCGAAUAAACAACUAGUAAACAUUAAUUUUGUUGCUUCACUCUUCUUUAACGAGGGGGCCCUGAAUAAAGAAAAAAAAAAGUGGAGCUCCAAUUUGAUAUGAAAAAAGUGCUAUUAUCCAUGGGCAUAUGCACUUAAUCCAAGAAGGAAAGUAUAGCACCAUCAUUGGCUGGACAAUUCUCUACGCAAACGCUUUGUAUAUCUCACCUGCAAAACUUUUUCAAGCGAACAAAUCCUAUUGAAUAAUGAAAAAUGCGAACACAUAUGACAAAGUCAAAUUAGCUUAUUAUAAUUUCGAACUAAAUAUUACAUGGAAUAGAUGGUAUGGCUCAAAAAAAAAAUAAAAUUCUUGGCUUCCUUGCGAAUAACAAUUUUUUGCUUUUCUUUAUUCUAAAGAAGAUAAAGAAAACAAAAAAAAACAAAAAAAUUGGUAUAACAAUUAACUGUUUGAGUUAAUUUUUUAUACAUUCACAAUGUAUUUAUAAUCAGGUAUGAAUGUAUGUCAUAUAUGUAAAAUUUAGAUUUAAAAUGAAAUUAAGUUUAGUUAUCAUGUAUAUUAUUCUAAUAAUAUAUGCACUGCUAGUGAUAAAAAACUAAUUCUUAAUUAUUUUGAUGUAAAAUUUUUUUUAAAAAAAGAAUAAAGCUACAAUAGAGGGUUUCACCGCCACCGCCAUAGUGCCUGCGAAUACCGUGGGCAUUGCAAUCACCAAGUUGUAUGUUUAAUCAGCAGUGUACAUGUAGCAUAUUUUAUGGCAAUUAUAAUAAUUAUAAAUUUAGUAAAUUAUAUGGAUUGUCUUCCUCCUCAUUGCCGCCGCUUGGACAAGACAAUACGGAACCAACAAAAAGAAGAAAGCGAUGUAGAAGUAGAACUCGAGGGAAGAAAGCAAAUUGAAUGCCUUCGUUGUGCUGCCAUUGAAAAUUCUCCAAAAGAAUAUUUUCCAUAUUUUACAAGAAGCAUUUAGGUUAAAUUAGACUGAGAAGAUUUUUCUAAACAUAAAGAUGUUCGAAGACAAAAGUUAAUGAAGAUUAAUCGAAAGCUUCUCUACUAUGCAAAUCCCCAUUUAUUUAAACUUAUUUUUUUUCAAAUAAAAUUUAUAUAUACUGAUAAUAUAUAUACGAUAUCAUCGUUGAAUCCAUAAAUCUUGUACAAAUGUUGAAUUUCAAAUUUGAAUACUGUAUAAUUGUCAUUCAUUUAAAAUUGACAAUAAUGUAUACACUGUCGGUCAGUAUACGAAAGAUUUUUUUUUUUUUUUUUUUGGAUAUAACAGCAGUAUACAAAAUUACAACCUCAUGGUAUGUAUAGCAAUUUUGCGUUAGAACAGAAGAAUAGACCAAAUGGUUGAUGUAACCAGACCAAUUGCCACGGAAUCUUGCAUCCCUCCAUGUUAGAUGGUAUCUCUCUGACAAGAAAUACACUAAUUAUUUAGCAUUCUUAAUUAGUCUGGCCGACUAGGACAGCCACUAGAAUAAUUCACUUUCGUAGUUUUGUCCGACUGAUCUAAAUAUCUAAUCUGUUCCUUUCCCCCUGGGCCAGCAGACAGAAUAUUGUAUGCUAUUUAAUCUCUACAUUCAGGGGUACUGACACUAAUUAACACACUUUAUAGUACGCUAACCAAGUUGGGCUUAACGUGAGAAUUAUCAUCUAACCUGCCCCGGAAUUAGAUCAGCACAUUGAAAGUUAAACAGGGUCCAUCUCCAAUUAUUCUCCAUCCACAGAUUUGGAAAUUGGAAGUUAGAACCUUGGACUUGCCCUUUAUUCCAGAUUAAAUCCAUCAAACUGCAGCACAACUUUUGAGUUGGUUUAGACUGUCUUUUCCACUCAACAGCCUAAUUAAAGUUAAUUUAGUACCUGCAAAUAAUAAUUUUAGUAUCACAUUUUAGUAUAAAAUAUAUUAUAAUAAUUUGAUGUGGGCGAGAUAAAUAGUUAAUUAAAAAAUAUAUAUUACGUACAAUGUUGUGUUUGGAUUGCAUUUUUCGUGAUUUUUUAUGAAAAAAUUACUGUAACAAUUUGAUGUAUAUGAGAAAAAAAGAUAAUAUGUAAAUGUGAUCACGAAAAACGAUGUAAUUUUUUAUGAAACCGGCAAUCCAAACAAAUUCUUUUGAAAAAAAAAUUGACAUUCCAAUUGGUUUCUGCAUUAAAUGAGAUGUCUCUGGCCUUCUGCCAGCUAAAGUGGAUAGUUUAGACAGGUGUUAUACAUUCAAUAGAGUGUUAGUACCUCAAAAGAUAGAUGGAAUGGCGUCUGAAAAGUGAAAUUCCUUUUUCUUUAUUCCUAGAACUGACUUUCUUCCAUCAAGUUAGGGUUUGACGUCUAUUGCUCCAACUCAUAUACAAGCCUGAUUAUUAGAUUUUGUUUGGAAAGUCAUUUUUCGUCAAAAACAAAUUUUUACGUUAUUUUUAAUAAUUUUUUUAUUUCAUAUAUAUUAUAUUAUUAUAUUAUAAUUUUUAAUAAAAAUUUUAAAAAAUUCCACGCAUCAAAAUUCCAAUGAUGUUAGAGAGAAUAGAAUCCGCAAUAAAUGUUGAUAUUAUUAUUUUUACAGUAGUUUCUUUCUUAAACGAAUGAUGGACAAAGAAUCUAAAUUGGAACUCGUAAAUAAUUAAAUUUUUUGACGUGGCACAACCACCUUCAAUCCUAUUUCCCAAAUGUAGCUGACAAAGAACUCAACGAGCCGCACCAGAUAGUUUCUUCUUCAUCACAAAAACCGCCAAAAUUACAAGUGUCCCAUACCCAAGUGGACCCCACUAAUCCUAUCCCUGCACACGGGAAUCAUCGACCGUCCCCUGGACCCCACUUCACAUGCUCCCCUCUUCCUCAUUGGAUAUUUCCCGAUAAAAGAAAGAAAUCGAUAUUUGCUAAAUGGCACCGCAUAUUUUGCUUUGCAAAAGAAUUUAUUUUGUUUCUUUUUUCUCACAAUUUGAUACUUGAAACUAUUAAAAUCUUGCGUCUUUUUCAGCACGAUAAAUCACCCUAAAUCAACCCAUUGUAAUAUGACAAGUUUCUUUGGUAAUUUGCAAUAAAUAUUAUUAAUCAUAUUCUUAUUUUAUAGAAAAUUUUAUAUGUGCAGUAUUUCAUAUUUUUUUCGCUGAUUAAUCCACUUAUCAUAAGUUGAAAUUUAGUGCUUGCUUUAAAAUUACAUUCACGUGAUUUAUAGGCAUCAUUAUGUAUAAAAUUGUAGUCCAAAAUUUAGUAAACAUGAGAUGCAUGUUAGAUAAAUUAAAUUGCUUCAUGUUAAACAUGAUAAAUUGAAACUAAACUUUUUUGUAAAUUUAGGAACUAGUUAGGGCAAAUGGGCUACGAUGACUAAAAUAUAGGAUCGUAGAUUACAUUUGGCGAUAAAUUAAAUUUCUUCAAUGUAAACUUUUGAUAGAUUGAAAUUAAACUUUUGAUAGAUGCAAGGGACUAGAUUAGAAAUUGCCCAAACUCAAAAGCAAAAACUAUAGAAACUUUCACCGUCAUUGAGUAAAAUUACAAUUUUGCCCCAGCCGGCAUUUUCUAUAUAUGUCAGUCUCGCUCAUCGGCCACCCUCCAUCUUCCAUUUCCAUGACCUUCACAUUUCUAGAGAGAGAAAGUGUUUCUGUGUCCGUUAGAUAAAUUUUGGAGAUAGAAAAUUUUGGGGGUUUGGGUUUCGGAGUUAGAUAUCAAAUAUGUUGGGAGUGUUUAGCAGUUCAAUAAUGUCGCCGCCGGAUGAGCUGGUGGCAGCAGGUAGCCGGACACCGUCGCCGAAGAUCACAGCGGCGGCGCUGGUGAAUCGGUUUUUACAAACCAAUUCCUCGGCGGUGUCGAUGCAGAUCGGCGAUGAUGCCCAGUUAGCUUAUACUCAUCACAACGAGUCACCUUUACACCCCAGGUAAUAAAAUUACCAAUCAGUUCGAGAAACGUAAAAUCAAGAAAAAAUUAAGUUAGUAAAUAGAUGGACAGGGAAAUUCAAGGGAAAAAAAAAUAUGUUUGGUGAGCUGACUUAGGAGUAAAGUAGUAGUGAUCUUGGCCGUUUGACGAGAUGAUGAUGAUGAUUAAGAAUCAAAAGGUGGGGGACUGGUUGAUCAGAAUUUGAUGGGUCUGUAUGGAAUGCAUGGAAUAUUGACAUCGCGAUGAAUCUUUUGGAUAUAUUUGAUUAUAAAAUUCCUGAAGUGGGUUUCUGUAUUUCUUUAGAUUUAUGUUACUCAAGAAUCUGAUAAUUUUCUGGAUAUACAUAAGCUUUCUGGAGCUAAGCUUAUUAUAAUAAAACUAGAAUAAACUAAAAACUCUAUAGUAUUGUAGUAAUAAACUACAAACUCUAUAAUCUUGUAAGCUGGUUAGUAAUCACCAUGGAGGUUCUUUCUAUGUUGUGGAUAAUUAUAUGUCUUUUUUCUUGUGAUUUUAUCCAUGUACUGGUUUGUUAGCAUCUCUCAGCUCAGCUUUGGCAACAAAUAUUUCUUGAGCGGUUGUGAUUUAGAUGAUGAUGACGACAUAAGUUUUUGAGUCAUGGAAGUCACCGAUUCCAAGAUUUUUUGAGUCCAGUUGUCCAAAUUUUCCUCGCUCUCUUGCCACGUAUUGGAAUCUGUAUAUAUCACACUUUGUACUACCUUCUCUCUCUUUGUCUGUUUUUUUUAAAAAAAAAAAAAAAAAAAUUUGUGGAUCCUUCUUUGUUACCUCGGGUUGUAUGGUGUCUUGAUUCCAAAACUUCUGGUACCACAUACGUUAGAUUGCAGCCAUACACGUGUCAAUCUUUAGAGGAGUAAAAGGCAACAUGCCAAAAAAAAAUCUGAUAGUUUAGUCAGAAAACAUUAAGCCAAUUCAAUUUUUGCCUAAAAAAGUCUGCUUAGUAAUCGUGUCAAGUAAAAAGCGUGAUAUUCUUUAGGUACUCGUAAUCUUCGGUGACCAUGUUCUGGUUUAGAUUUUAUCUCCAAAAGUUGGGCCCUCCUUUAAUCCGGAGCCUUGGUAGACCCUACUAGAAUCCUUAUCUAGUCUCUAUGCCAAUCAUGACGGCUCAAAAUGGCAGUCUUUCAAAGUUUGGAUGAAGCCGUGUAACGCUAGCACUUUGUCUAGGUUAAUUGCAAAAUAAUUAUUUUCUUGGAAAUAUAUGGUGGCUUGUAUUAUUCUAAUGGUGACGAUGAUAGGCAACUACUUUUCCACAAGUGGUUUGGAAAAUAUAUAUAAAAAGAAGGUUUUGUUGGUUAUGACUAGUGACUAGUUGUUUCUGGUAACAAGUUCUCUUACUGAAAUUCUAAGCAAAAAUUGACAGUUACCCACUAGUUUAACUCUUACCUACCGUGCGAUGAUCUGAUGAAUUUUUUUGAAAGUGACGCGUGAAGCUAACUUGGCCAUAAAAAUUUGCAGGUCAUUCGCAGUUAAGGAUGACAUAUUUUGCCUGUUUGAGGGAGCACUUGAUAAUCUAGGGAGUCUGAAGCAACAAUACGGGCUUUCAAAGUCUGCAAAUGAGGUGGUUUUGAUGAUUGAAGCAUACAAGGCGCUUCGUGACAGGGCACCUUACCCUCCAAACCAUGUUGUUGGCCACCUAGAAGGGAAUUUUGCAUUUAUUGUCUUCGACAAGGCCACCUCCACCUUGUUUGUGGCUACUGUGAGUGAUCUUCAAUCUCCUUACCUAACAAUUUGACUUCAUUGAAAUGUUUUAUUGCAUUUAAUCCAGCGGGUGUGGUUGGUGAUGUUGUGACAGGAUGAAAAGGCUAAGGUUCCUCUAUAUUGGGGAAUCACUGCUGAUGGAUGGGUAGCAUUUGCAGAUGAUGCUGACUUGCUUAAAGGUGCUUGUGGCAAGUCCCUUGCAUCUUUCCCUCAAGGUAAAUUUGAUUCUUAGGCGCUUAAGUUAGCCAUCAUCAAAGAAUUGAUUCUUUUCAAUUAAUGAAUACAUUAACUGCUUUUUUUUUUUUGGGUUAGUACAUCUUUCGUUUCAAAUUCCUUUGCUAUCUUGUAAUGUACGUUGAUGUCUGUUCGUUUGUUCAGGUUGCUUCUUCUCCACAGCUUUGGGUGAACUGAGAAGCUAUGAGAAUCCAAAGAAUAAGAUCACUGCAAUUCCAGCUAAAGAGGAAGAAAUAUGGGGAGCAAAGUUCAUGGUAAACAGAUGAGAUUCUCUCUAUGUUACCAGCCAAGUAAUACAGUCGACCUACGCAAAGGAAAAAGAAAAAAAUUGUGCAAACCAUUUUUUUUCUUUUUUUUGGAAUCCAGGAGUGUAUAUAUAUAUACUCAGUGAGGUCAUUUGGUGAUACUGAAAUUUGUUCUCUUUUGUAACCUCUUUUUGGUGAUAUUUUUCCAGGUGGAAGGGCCAGCAGUAUUUGCAGCCACAAAAUAGAAGUUCAUAAUCUCCUCCACCUGCAAUGUGCAAGUUGCUGCUAAAAGACAGGAAAACAGUGGAAGGGGGAUUGGAGAGGGAGGGAGGGAGGGAGGGAGGGAGGGGGUUGAUCUCUGGGACCAUGUAAAAAUUAGUGGAGCUGUCUUUCCCUUAGUAGCUGUUGUUAUUACUUCCUUGAAUGAAUGAAUGAGGAUGGUGCCGACUUAGGUACUGUUAAGGUUCUAGAGUUGGUUGUUUGCUUGCCCAAGUAGUUCCUUCUCUUCUCUUCAUGUAGCGGUUCGCUGGUUCCAAUGCUUUGCUUCCUUUGGAAUUUGUACAGUUCACCUUUUUUCUCUAUAAAUUACUAAUAAAAGCUCAGUUUACCUUUUUUUUUUUUUUUUUUUUAAAGAUGGAGGUCUUGAACACACGUACUAUUUACAAUUUCUUCUGUUUUAUUAUUUAAUCUAAUUC
rnacentral:lncRNA from 1 species